UACGUAGGGUGCGAGCGUUGUCCGGAAUUAUUGGGCGUAAAGGGCUCGUAGGCGGUCUGUUGCGUCGGUAGUGAAAACUCAGGGCUUAACCCUGAGCCUGCUUCCGAUACGGGCAGACUAGAGGUAUGCAGGGGAGAACGGAAUUCCUGGUGUAGCGGUGAAAUGCGCAGAUAUCAGGAGGAACACCGGUGGCGAAGGCGGGUCUCUGGGCAACAACUGACGCUGAGGAGCGAAAGCGUGGGGAGCGAA
rnacentral:rRNA from 1 species